rnacentral:rRNA from 1 species
CAAUAGCGUAUAUUAAAGUUGUUGCAGUUAAAAAGCUCGUAGUUGGAUUUCUGGUGGGAGCGAUCGGUCUGGCGCUUAGCGCGAGUACUUGCAUCGUCUCCGGCCAUCCUUGGGGAAAGUCUGUCUGGCAUUAAGUUGUCGGGCAGAGGAUCCUCAUCGUUUACUGUGAAAAAAUUAGAGUGUUCAAAGCAGGCUUAUGCCGUUGAAUAUAUUAGCAUGGAAUAAUAAGAUAGGACUUUGGUACUAUUUUGUUGGUUUGCGCACCAAAGUAAUGAUUAAUAGGGACAGUUGGGGGUAUUCGUAUUCCGUUGUCAGAGGUGAAAUUCUUGGAUUUACGGAAGACGAACUACUGCGAAAGCAUUUACCAAGGAUGUAUUCAUUAA